rnacentral:RNase_P_RNA from 1 species
GAACAAUUGCGUACGAGAAAAUCGUAUGAGGAAAGUCCGAACACCUUAGGGCAGAACAACGGAUAACAUCCGCCGGAGGUAACUCCAGGACCAGUGCCACAGAAAAGUAAACAACCGAAUGGUUCAGGUGCAACGGUAGUGUAAAAGACUACAGGAAAUAUUGAGAAAUAUUUGCCGGGUAAACUCUGUUCGGGUGCAAGAUUAAUUAAAGGUUAAGGUGACCCGCCGUCUUUAGAAAAAUCGCUGGAGCAGUAUGGUAACAUGCUGUCGAGAUAAAUAAUUGUUUAGAAACAGAAUUCGGCUUAUGAGCUGCUC